CCAAUAGCGUAUAUUAAAGUUGUUGCAGUUAAAAAGCUCGUAGUUGAACUUCGGGGUUUACCCAUUGGUCAGGCUUAAUUGUCUGCACUGGUGAGAUGAAUCUCUACCUUCUGAGGAACUUUCAUGCCAUUUAUUUGGUGUGAUUGGAAAUCAGGCCUGUUACUUUGAAAAGAUUAGAGUGUUUAAAGCAGGCUAACGUCUGAAUACAUUAGCAUGGCAUAAUGAAAUAGGACGGGACUGAUUCUAUUUCGUUGGUUUCUAGGAUCACCGUAAUGAUUAAUAGGGAUAGUUGGGGGCAUUAGUAUUCAAUUGUCAGAGGUGAAAUUCUUGGAUUUAUUGAAGACUAACUACUGCGAAAGCAUUUGCCAAGGAUGUUUUCAUUAAUCAAGAACGAAAGUUAGGGGAUCGAAGACGAUCAGAUACCGUCGUAGUCUUAACCAUAAACUAUGCCGACUAGGGAUCGGACGAAGUUAAUUUUAUAAUGACGCGUUCGGCACCUUACG
rnacentral:rRNA from 1 species